CAGCCGUAAACUAUGCGCGUUAGGUGUAUCGGUGACCACGAGUUACCGAGGUGCCGAAGGGAAACCGUAAACGUGCCGCCUGGGAAGUACGGUCGCAAGGCUGAAACUUAAAGGAAUUGGCGGGGGAGGCACCACAACAGGUGGAGCCUGCGGUUUAAUUGGACUCAACGCCGGGAAGCUCACCGGAUAGGACAGCAGAAUGAUUGCCGGGCUGAAGACCCUGCAUGACUAGCUGAGAGGUGGUGCAUGGCGUCAGUGACU
rnacentral:rRNA from 1 species